AGUCACUGACAUUAGAUACCCGGGUAGUCCAGGGUGUAAACGCUGCCGACUUGGUGUUGGAGGCCCUUCGGGGGCAUUCAGUGCCGGAGAGAAGUUGUUAAGUCGGCCACUUGGGGAGUACGUCCGCAAGGAUGAAACUUAAAGGAAUUGGCGGGGGAGCACCGCAACGGGAGGAGCGUGCGGUUUAAUUGGAUUCAACGCCGAAAAACUCACCAGCAGCGACUGUUACAUGAAAGUCAGGUUGAUGACCUUACUAGAUUUUCAG
rnacentral:rRNA from 1 species